AUUGAACGCUGGCGGCAGGCCUAACACAUGCAAGUCGAGCGGAUGAAGGGAGCUUGCUCCUGGAUUCAGCGGCGGACGGGUGAGUAAUGCCUAGGAAUCUGCCUGGUAGUGGGGGGUAACGUCCGGAAACGGGCGCUAAUACCGCAUACGUCCUGAGGGAGAAAGUGGGGGAUCUUCGGACCUCACGCUAUCAGAUGAGCCUAGGUCGGAUUAGCUAGUUGGUGGGGUAAAGGCCUACCAAGGCGACGAUCCGUAACUGGUCUGAGAGGAUGAUCAGUCACACUUGAACUGGAACACGGUCCCGACUCCUACGGGAGGGAGCAGUGGGGAAUUUUUGGCAAUUGGCGAAAGCCUGAUCCAGCCAUGCCGCGUGUGUGAAGAAGGUCUUCGGAUUGUAAAGCACUUUAAGUUGGGAGGAAGGGCAGUAAGUUAAUACCUUGCUGUUUUGACGUUACCAACAGAAUAAGCACCGGCUAACUUCGUG
rnacentral:rRNA from 1 species